GUACUCUCACACUCCCGAUGCUUUUGGAUCGGGAGCGGUGGACUUGGGUGUUGCGGCUUAACUGCGGCUCGCCUCAAAUGGAGUAGUGCAACUCUCGGUUGGACAUAGUACGGCGUGAUAAGUAUCUUCGCCGGCGCCUCUUUAGAGGGUGGCUGAUCGGGAGCUCUGUGCUUCAAACCGUCUUCGGACAACAUCUGACA
rnacentral:misc_RNA from 1 species